UAGAGGCGUUCGGUCUCCAUUUGAUUUUUGCUGUAGCUGGGGUAGGAGUGUGCUUGGUUCGCAGAAGUAGCAUCCUUUGUAAUCUUCUUAUUAACAAGUUUCGUAAACUAAUAGCAACGUUUAAUAUAGUUUGGUACGUGCGUUUGCCAGAGCAUAAUCAAGUAAUUGUUGAUUUCAUCGAUAAGGUUAUACUUACUGAUGGAAUGCAUUAAGUAACUAUGAGGGGAACUUUGGGAAUAUUAUCUUUUUGCAUUUUAUUUAUAUCUAUUUUUGCUUUUUGUAUGACUGAGCGUAUAUUAAAUAUACUUUAUUAAAAGUACAAUGUAAAUAUUUGCACUCGUUUGUUAGACUAGUAGUAUGGGCCCUGGUGCUGGCACACGUGGCAGGUUACAAUGCUCUGAUACGAAGUCAUUUACUUUGUCGUUGUUGCUUCCUAUGUUCUUAAGGCAAUGUGGUUAGAUUAGUGCCAUUGUAAUUGUAUUUUAAACGCAAUAUCUGUAAGCACGUGGCAUACUUAUCCAUGUUGCUGGUGUCAGUGAUGACUGAACUGUUUCGCCUGACAGAUAGUCAACAUUUGUGGGUUCGGUACUGUCUUUAGCCAAACUUUGACAGAUGCGCCAGAAACAAUCAAAAUUGUUUGCGGUUUAACUAUUAUUGUUUCUUGCAGGAGGGGUGAUUGUGUAUGAAAUCAUGAUGCAGAACAGAACUCCAGGCUGUGGCAAAAUUCAGAAUAAGGCCUAACUAUGGGGCUGAUUCUUUGUGCAAUUGUAAUGCAGAACAGAACUGCAGGCCGUGGCAGAAUGCAGCAGAAGUCCUAACUGGGGCUGAUUCUUUGUGCAAUUGUAAUGCAGAACAGAACUGCAGGCCGUGGCAGAAUGCAGCAGAAGUCCUAACUGUAAGUAUAUUUGAAACUAGGUUCCCAAGAGCUGCAAGGCAAACAAGCUUUAGUCCAAUUGAAUGGUAUCUGUUAUAUAUGCCACAAAUGAUUUAUUAAAUCCUAUAAUAGCUCUGGGGGUCAAAGCUGUGUAGCCACAAUUUAAUUCUUUACUGAGAACCUUUGCACAAUGACUAGCUUUGUUUCUGGUGUCAAUGAUGACUGAACUUUUUUCCCCAACAGAUCGACAAUGUUGACUGCUCGGUACUUUAGCCAAACUUUGUCUGAUGCACCAGAAACGCUCAAGCUUGUGUGUUUUUGUGUGUUUGUGUAGUUUUAACUAAUAGUAUUGCUUCUUGCAGGGGGCUGAUUCUUUGUGCAAUUGUAAUGCAGAACAGAACUGCAGGCCGUGGCAGAAUGCAGCAGAAGUCCUAACUGGGGCUGAUUCUUUGUGCAAUUGUAAUGCAGAACAGAACUGCAGGCCGUGGCAGAAUGCAGCAGAAGUCCUAACUGGUGCUUAUUGCUGGUGUAAUCUGAGAUCCAAUGGUAAAGGCAGAUUAGACCAUGGCUGACUUUGUUCAAAAGUUGGAUAAAGUAUUCAUGACGGGAAUGCUGGGGCAGAUAUGAAAACUGAAGUGCAGACAGUCUUCAAAAAAUGUGUCAAGCUGCCUGCCUUAUGCUUUAUCGAUGGAUCUUUAAGUUGUAAUCCCAACCUGGCUGUUGUCAUUGUUUUGGGUUGGAUGUUGCUACCAAUAUUAUACAAUAAAAGAAGUUUACCUUG